rnacentral:rRNA from 1 species
GACGAACGCUGGCGGCGUGCUUAACACAUGCAAGUCGAACGGAAAGGCCCUGCUUUUGUGGGGUGCUCGAGUGGCGAACGGGUGAGUAACACGUGAGUAACCUGCCCUUGACUUUGGGAUAACUUCAGGAAACUGGGGCUAAUACCGGAUAGGAGCUCCUGCUGCAUGGUGGGGGUUGGAAAGAUUCGGCGGUGUGGGAUGGACUCGCGGCUUAUCAGCUUGUUGGUGGGGUAGUUGCUUACCAAGGCUUUGACGGAUAGGCGGCCUGAGAGGGUGACCGGCCACAUGGGGACUGAGGUACGGCGCAGACUCCUACGGGAGGCAGCAGUGGGGAAUAUUGCACAGUGGGCGGAAGCCUGAUGCAGCAACGCCGCGUGCGGGAUGACGGCCUUCGGGUUAUGAACCGCUUUCGCCUGUGACGAAGCGUGAGUGACGGUAAUGGGUAAAGAAGCACCGGCUAACUACGUG